UACGUAGGGGGCAAGCGUUGUUCGGAUUCAUUGGGCGUAAAGAGCGUGUAGGCGGCUUGUUAAGUCUUGCGUGAAAUCUCGGGGCUCAACCCCGAGCGGUCGUGAGAAACUGUCUGGCUAGAGUCCGGAAGAGGAGAAUGGAAUUCCUGGUGUAGCGGUGAAAUGCGCAGAUAUCAGGAAGAACACCCGUGGCGAAGGCGGUUCUCUGGGACGGUACUGACGCUGAGACGCGAAAGCGUGGGGAGCGAACAGG
rnacentral:rRNA from 1 species